GACGAACGCUGGCGGCGUGCUUAACACAUGCAAGUCGAACGGUGAAGCGCCUUCCUUUUUGGUGGGUGUGGAUGAGUGGCGAACGGGUGAGUAACACGUGAGUAACCUGCCCCCUUCUUCUGGAUAACCGCAUGAAAGUGUGGCUAAUACGGGAUAUUCUGGGUCUGUCGCAUGAUGGGUCUGGGAAAGAUAUUGUUUCGGUGGGGGAUGGGCUCGCGGCCUAUCAGCUUGUUGGUGGGGUGAUGGCCUACCAAGGCGGUGACGGGUAGCCGGCCUGAGAGGGUGGACGGUCACACUGGGACUGAGACACGGCCCAGACUCCUACGGGAGGCAGCAGUGGGGAAUAUUGCACAAUGGGAGCAAGCCUGAUGCAGCGACGCCGCGUGAGGGAUGGAGGCCGUCGGGUUGUGAACCUCUUUCGCCAGUGAAGCAGGCCUGCCUAGUUUGUGGGUGGGUUGACGGUAGCUGGAUAAGAAGCGCCGGCUAACUACGUG
rnacentral:rRNA from 1 species